AUGAGCGACGGCAAGGACACCCUCGACCUCUCCGCCCUCGGCGCCGCCGUCCCCAACGCCGCAGAGCUCAGCGCCGAGGACAAGGCCAACCUCGUGGAGUCGAUUAAGAACACGCUGCAGGGAUUGGCGGCCCGGCACACGGACGUGCUCGAGAGCCUGGAGCCCAAGGUCAGGAAGCGCGUCGAGGCGCUCAGGGAGAUCCAGAGCCAACAUGAUGAAUUUGAGGCAAAGUUUUUUGAGGAGAGAGCUGCACUUGAAGCUAAAUAUCAGAAGAUGUAUGAACCACUGUACUCAAAGCGUCAUGAUGUUGUCAAUGGUGUGGUUGAGGCAGAAGGUGAAGCUGCUGAAGACCAGAAAGAGGAGGUGGGUGUGCCAGAUUUCUGGUUGAAUGCAAUGAAGAACCAUGAAAUCCUUGCUGAGGAGAUCCAAGAGAGGGAUGAGGAAGCUCUCAAGUACCUCAAGGACAUCAAGUGGUACAGAAUUACUGAGCCAAAGGGUUUCAAGCUUGAGUUCCACUUCAAUACCAAUCCAUUCUUCAAGAAUGAAGUGCUUACGAAAACGUACCACAUGAUCGAUGAAGAUGAACCAAUCCUUGAGAAGGCCAUUGGUACUGAAAUUGAAUGGUGCCCUGGAAAGAGCUUGACACAAAAGGUGCUAAAGAAGAAGCCAAAGAAGGGGUCAAAGAACACUAAACCUAUCACGAAGAUUGAAAAUUGCGAGAGCUUCUUUAAUUUCUUCAGUCCACCUCAAGUUCCUGAUGAUGAUGAGGAAAUUGAUGAGGAUACAGCUGAACAGUUGCAGAACCAAAUGGAGCAAGAUUAUGAUAUUGGAUCUACCAUCAGAGACAAGAUUAUUCCACAUGCUGUUUCAUGGUUCACUGGAGAGGCCGCUCAAGAUGAGGACUUUGAUGGCAUCAUGGAUGAUGAUGAAGAUGACGACGAAGAUGACGAGGAGGAUGAAGAUGAUGAGGAGGACGACGAGGAAGAUGAAGACGAUGAUGAUGGUGAUAAGAAGAAGGGCGGGCGAGUUCCUGCAGGGGAAGGGCAGGGGGAGCGACCCGCGGAGUGCAAGCAACAGUGA
rnacentral:rRNA from 1 species